UUCCAUGGUUUUGAGUGAGACGAAAAUCUGUUAGAAAUGUAGUACCAAAUAGUGGGGAAAUAACAGAAAUAGGUACUCUUAAUGAUAAUUAUUAUUGGUAUUAUUAAUUACAUUUAAACGAAUUUAAUGAUAUUCUUCUCUUAUUUUUCAGAGAAUCAGAACCUUCAGAGACUUUCGGCUAAUCCAUUGAACUGGACUGUCGAUGAAGUAAUAAACUACAUUGUUAUUAUGGACCCAGAUUUGGGUCGGGAUAUGCAUUUAUUUAAAAAACACAGAAUUAAUGGCAAGAGUCUAUUUUAUCUUAAUACCGAUAUAAUGACAAAAAAUAUGGAAUUAAGAUGUGGCCCAGCCGUAAAAAUUAAUAACAAAAGAAUCAGAACCGUUCGAAUCCAUUAAACUGGACAGUCAACGACGUGAUAAACUUUAUUAGUACGGAUAAUACGGACCCAGAGUUAAGUCAGGAGAUAUACCUAUUUAGAAACCACCGUAUUGAUGGAAAGGCUCUACUUUUAUUAAAUACUAAAAUAAUGACAAGAAAUAUGAAAUUAAAAUGUGGCCCAAGUUUAAAAAUAAAUUUUAUGAUGAAACGUUUAAAAAGAGAGAGCGGACUUUACAAUGAUUAUGAAGACUAGAACCAGGACAUCGAUUUCCAUGGUUUUGAGUGAGACGAAAAUCUGUUAGAAAUGUAGUACCAAAUAGUGGGGAAAUAACAGAAAUAGGUACUCUUAAUGAUAAUUAUUAUUGGUAUUAUUAAUUACAUUUAAACGAAUUUAAUGAUAUUCUUCUCUUAUUUUUCAGAGAAUCAGAACCUUCAGAGACUUUCGGCUAAUCCAUUGAACUGGACUGUCGAUGAAGUAAUAAACUACAUUGUUAUUAUGGACCCAGAUUUGGGUCGGGAUAUGCAUUUAUUUAAAAAACACAGAAUUAAUGGCAAGAGUCUAUUUUAUCUUAAUACCGAUAUAAUGACAAAAAAUAUGGAAUUAAGAUGUGGCCCAGCCGUAAAAAUUAAUAACAAAGUAAUACAAUUGUAACUAAUUUCUCCGUCACAUUUUUUAUUUUUUAAAUCAAUCUGUUCAUAAAUAUAGAAUAAUUGAUCUAACCUCAGAUGCAAAUAUAAACAAUAUUGAAGGAACAAAAAAAGCAUCAUCCAAAGUAACAAAUAGAAUAGGUGCUUUUAAUGAUAAUUAUUAAUGGUAUUAUUAAUUAUAUUUAAACGGAUUUAAUAAUAUUAGUACUUUUUAUUUUACAGAGAAUCAGAACCGUUCGAAUCCAUUAAACUGGACAGUCAACGACGUGAUAAACUUUAUUAGUACGGAUAAUACGGACCCAGAGUUAAGUCAGGAGAUAUACCUAUUUAGAAACCACCGUAUUGAUGGAAAGGCUCUACUUUUAUUAAAUACUAAAAUAAUGACAAGAAAUAUGAAAUUAAAAUGUGGCCCAAGUUUAAAAAUAAAUUUUAUGAUGAAACGUUUAAAAAGAGAGAGCGGACUUUACAAUGAUUAUGAAGACUAGAACCAGGACAUCGAUUUCCAUGGUUUUGAGUGAGACGAAAAUCUGUUAGAAAUGUAGUACCAAAUAGUGGGGAAAUAACAGAAAUAGGUACUCUUAAUGAUAAUUAUUAUUGGUAUUAUUAAUUACAUUUAAACGAAUUUAAUGAUAUUCUUCUCUUAUUUUUCAGAGAAUCAGAACCUUCAGAGACUUUCGGCUAAUCCAUUGAACUGGACUGUCGAUGAAGUAAUAAACUACAUUGUUAUUAUGGACCCAGAUUUGGGUCGGGAUAUGCAUUUAUUUAAAAAACACAGAAUUAAUGGCAAGAGUCUAUUUUAUCUUAAUACCGAUAUAAUGACAAAAAAUAUGGAAUUAAGAUGUGGCCCAGCCGUAAAAAUUAAUAACAAAGUAAUACAAUUGUAACUAAUUUCUCCGUCACAUUUUUUAUUUUUUAAAUCAAUCUGUUCAUAAAUAUAGAAUAAUUGAUCUAACCUCAGAUGCAAAUAUAAACAAUAUUGAAGGAACAAAAAAAGCAUCAUCCAAAGUAACAAAUAGAAUAGGUGCUUUUAAUGAUAAUUAUUAAUGGUAUUAUUAAUUAUAUUUAAACGGAUUUAAUAAUAUUAGUACUUUUUAUUUUACAGAGAAUCAGAACCGUUCGAAUCCAUUAAACUGGACAGUCAACGACGUGAUAAACUUUAUUAGUACGGAUAAUACGGACCCAGAGUUAAGUCAGGAGAUAUACCUAUUUAGAAACCACCGUAUUGAUGGAAAGGCUCUACUUUUAUUAAAUACUAAAAUAAUGACAAGAAAUAUGAAAUUAAAAUGUGGCCCAAGUUUAAAAAUAAAUUUUAUGAUGAAACGUUUAAAAAGAGAGAGCGGACUUUACAAUGAUUAUGAAGACUAGAACCAGGACAUCGAUUUCCAUGGUUUUGAGUGAGACGAAAAUCUGUUAGAAAUGUAGUACCAAAUAGUGGGGAAAUAACAGAAAUAGGUACUCUUAAUGAUAAUUAUUAUUGGUAUUAUUAAUUACAUUUAAACGAAUUUAAUGAUAUUCUUCUCUUAUUUUUCAGAGAAUCAGAACCUUCAGAGACUUUCGGCUAAUCCAUUGAACUGGACUGUCGAUGAAGUAAUAAACUACAUUGUUAUUAUGGACCCAGAUUUGGGUCGGGAUAUGCAUUUAUUUAAAAAACACAGAAUUAAUGGCAAGAGUCUAUUUUAUCUUAAUACCGAUAUAAUGACAAAAAAUAUGGAAUUAAGAUGUGGCCCAGCCGUAAAACUUAAUAACAAAGUAAUACAAUUGUAACUAAUUUCUCCGUCACAUUUUUUAUUUUUUAAAUCAAUCUGUUCAUAAAUAUAGAAUAAUUGAUCUAACCUCAGAUGCAGAUGUAAACAAUAUCUUCUCUAGGAAAUUUAAAUGUUUUUGAUAGAUUGUUCAUUAUAGAAUUUAUUUGUCUGAUCUUAUCAAUACGAUAAAUUAAAUCCUUGAUACUAAAAUUAAUCACAGUAGAAUAAGUGGAAGUCAUAGAGCGAGCUGUCCGAAAAACCUUUUUUUCAAUCAUCCAAAUUUAGAUGAAAUAGCAUUUAAUUGUUUAUCCAAGUUUAGAAGACACGACAAAGAAGGCUAAGAGAACAAUAAUGGCGCUGAAGUAGCGCUUACCGACUGGAAUAUCCCACUGAUAAUAUGACAACGCUACUUGUAUAAUUUACUCAACACUCACGUUUUAUUAUGUGUUGUAAAUAUAAAGUUUGAUAUAAAACAAUUGUUAUUUGAAAAAAAA
rnacentral:lncRNA from 1 species